GAGCUCGGAGCGGGGGCGGGGCAGGCGUGGGGAGAGCGCGGCAGCGCGGACCGCCGAGAGGGCCAGCAGAGGGGCGGGGAGUCUGGGCGGCACGGCUCUGGCUUCGCGCUCCCCGCCUCCACCCACCCCCAAACCUCCUGGAAGCUGCCGCGUAUCCGCCCUUGGCCUGCGCCUCCCUGCAGGGCUCUCCCAGGGUUCCUUUUGAAGCCUCUCUAAAACAGUUGAGCCCACUGUUCUCCUCCACUGCGGGCUGGGGACACAACAGACAAAGCAGAUCCCCGCCUUCGUGAAGCACGCAUUGGCGUCUCAAAUAUUUAAACCACGAAUUCACCAAUGGAGUUUGAGUAGUUAGAAAAGAAAAGAAUUCCAAGGAUUGAGCUUUGGAACAUUCCAACGUCUGGUGUUGAGAGAGAUGAGGAGUAAAGGACAAAGGAAAUUAAGAUGCCACUAAUGAGAUUUGCUGAUGGAACAGAAGGAUGUUAAAGAAAAAUGAAAACAAAGCUGUACUUUCUUACCAUAUUACCACCCAAAAAGAAAUCUAUUAAGUGAAAUAACAGAAAAGUGUGUGCAGUCUAAACUGGAGUUACUGACAAGUAUUUAAAGUAUCUGCAACAGGCUCCAGUUACUCUGGAUUUCUUUCUGUCCUAUGAAUUCACACAGAUGAGAACCUUAGCACUUGCUAUCUUUCUGCUCGGAUUGAUCUUUCCUUCGGAUCAAAACAUGACUACUCCCUUCUCUUCAGAUUAUCAACCCAAGCGCCAUUUCUUCAAAGAGGUCUUCUCUGACCAUCCAAUCCAAAACAGCCUCCCUUACUGGUCACUUUCUGUAACGUUACACUAAUGCAUCUUCUUCUCGGCAAUUAUGAGUACCUGAAAUUAUCAUAUUGUGUUUACUUUUUGCGCCUCAAUUUCUAAAAUGUCAGCUCAAUAAGAGGAAGGAUUCUUUUUUUUAAGUUGAAAUGUACAAUAUUAUGUUAGUUCUAGGUGUACUACACAGUGAUUUGACAUUUGCAUAUAUUAUGAAAUGAUAACCAUGAGAAAUCUAGUAACCAUUAGUCCCCUUACAAAGUUAUGAUGAUAUUAUCGACCAUAAACAUCCCUUAUGCUAUAUGUUACAUCCCCCUGGCUUAUUUAUUUUGUAACUGGGUUUUGUACCUUUUAAUCACCUUCACCUAUUUUGCUGCUCC